rnacentral:rRNA from 1 species
GUCUACGGCCAUACCACGUUGAAAACACCGGUUCUCGUCUGAUCACUGAAGUUAAGCAACGUCGGGCCCGGUUAGUACUUGGAUGGGUGACCGCCUGGGAAUACCGGGUGCUGUAGACU